AUCAAAACUCCCCGACGAUUCACUGUCACCACCACCGACAUUGCGCCUAGCUUCCGGAAGAACGUGAAGAUUCGUUUUGGAACCGGAAUGGAUUGUACGAUAUUGUUAUAUACACACACACUCCUAUCGAUGGUCGCAGAAAUAGAAACGAGUGAAUAUCUAGAAGGAGAGAGUGAAAACGAGAAAGGCGAUAAAAAGUGAUGAUUGUCAUUACAAAUCACUUUUAUUUUUUGGGAUUUUCAAAAGAAAGUCGACACGCUAAAAGGAAUGCUCCAUUUCAACUCACAAGGCGUUAACAAGGUGCAAUUUGUCAUAAAUGAAACCGAACCCAAUGGAACUAGGAAAACGUUAAAUAAAUUUCUCUUUCUGCAAAAUGCUUUCACUGAAAUUAAGCUUCUGUUCGCAAACGUUUAGAAGUCGAAUAAUUCUCAACUCUUAGACUACUGAUUUCUCUCCAUGUAAUCGGAAAUUGGAUAAAACAAUAAAUGAUGAUACAGCGGAACUUUUAUUGGACUUUUCUAAACAAAUUUUUACAGACAGAAAUACAAAAACGGAUAUUAUCAAACAAUAAACGGAAAAGAGUAGAGAAAAGAGAAGCUUAGAAGAGAAAUGGUGGGUAACAAAAGAAAGGAGAAAAAAGAAAAAUUUAGAGAUUUCAGUUUGAGAUGUUGAUGACAAUGUGAGACACGACAAUGAUAGACGAGAAUGACAAGACACACGAGGUGUCAAAAGGCGUGAACAGACGUUCGGACGAACGUUAAAAGGAUGUAACAAACGCUUAACAUUAUUUGGGUGCGUCUGUUACAUAUAAAAAUAACUUGAUGCGAGUUUCCAGCGAAAAAAGCUGGUGUUAAAUCGGAAUCCCUUGGAAAUGGUGACACGAGCUUUCAAAGAGCAAAAAACGUUGCUUAAUCACAAUUCAGUCGACGCAUAUAUUUAAUCUUCAAAAAUAAGUUCAAAACAACAAACUUUAAAUACUACAUUUAGUAAACAAGAAAAUUUGAAAAAUUAAAGAUUUCGCUUUAAUUUUUAUAAAUAGUUAUUCAUAAGAAAGGAAU